rnacentral:ncRNA from 1 species
UACAUAAAUUGCGAAAAAGGUGCGCUUACGAAAUCAAAAUCGAAAGUGCUUAAAAGGGAAGUCAGGUGUAAAACCUGCGCGGUCCCGCCACUGUAAAUGCGGAGUUACUUUUCUAUCAGGCCACUGUCCACGUUAAUGGGAUGGGAAGGCGAAAAGUUUACGAAGAUGCAUGAGCCAGGAUACCUGCCUAAUUUCGUUGUUGCUC